GGACUACAAGGGUAUCUAAUCCUGUUUGCUCCCCACGCUUUCGUGCCUGAGCGUCAAUCUCAGCCCAGGGGGCUGCCUUCGCCAUCGGUGUUCCGCCACAUAUCUACGCAUUUCACUGCUACACGUGGCAUUCCACCCCCCUCUGCCAGAUUCAAGUCCCAUAGUUUCCACUGCAGUUCCUAGGUUAAGCCCAGGGCUUUCACAGCGGACUUGCGGGACCGCCUACGCACGCUUUACGCCCAGUAAUUCCGAUUAACGCUCGCACCCUACGUAUUACCGCGGCUGCUGGCAC
rnacentral:rRNA from 2 species